GCAAGUCGAGGGGUAACAGGAAGCUUCGGUUUCGCUGACGACCGGCGCACGGGUGAGUAACGCGUAUACAAUCUGCCCGCAUCAGGGGGAUAGCCCGGAGAAAUCCGGAUUAAUACCCCAUAAUAUUUACGGGAGGCAUCUCUUGUAUCUUAAAUCUUCGGAGGAUGCGGAUGAGUAUGCGUGCCAUUAGUUAGUUGGUGAAGUAACGGUUCACCAAGGCAACGAUGGGUAGGGGUCCUGAGAGGGAGAUC
rnacentral:rRNA from 1 species